rnacentral:misc_RNA from 1 species
GAAAUGCGAUAAGUAGUAUGAAUUGCAGAAUUCCGUGAAUCAUCGAAUCUUUGAACGCACAUUGCGCCCUUUGGCAUUCCGAAGGGCAUACCUGUUCGAGCGUCAUUUCAAACCUCAAGCACGGCUUGGUCUUGGGUGUCUUUUGUCUUGCCCAGGCAGGACUCGCCUGAAAACCAUCGGUUGCCUGCACGUCGACUCCGGGCCCCCCAGUACAUUGUGGCGGCCUGUUGACGCGUGCGAGUGUGCCGCAAACCCGCCUUUUUAUUUUCUGGUUUGACCUCGGAUCAGGUAGGAGUACCCGCUGAACUUAA